GGCAAAUUAUUAAAAGAAAAAUCUAAUUCCUUGGGAUUCUAUAGGAGUAUUUCGUAUAGGGAAAAAAUCACAUGCUCACAGCUGCCCCUCUUUUCUCGGAGACACGAAGGGUUUUCGGGCAAAGAUAAAAUAGCAAUUAUGAGGGAUUUUUGCCCGUUUGAAACUCCAUGAGAAGCAUUUUUUGAAAAGAGCCUGACCAAACCUUGCUUAAGAGGUUGCCUACAUAUCCUUGGCUAUAAAAGAAUCAGGUCAGUGUAGUUAUGGAAGUUUCGGUAGCUGGGGCUACCAGGGAGCUGUGAUUUCACUGUUGAUGUUGCUACUACUGCUUGCCGAACUCCUUAUUGCACUAAGACAAAAUAAAAGAAUCUAGAAUAGACUACGAUCCAUGAAUUAUAAGAAUCCUAUCUAUAUCUUCAAACUUAAUCAUGCAGUUUCUGUUGCUUUGUUGACUUGUACUCUCCAAGUGAAAUUCCUUUGCUGCUGACUUGAAUUGUAUUCUGAGGUGCUUUCCCUUUGUUUUUCAGGAGGGCACCUGAUUACUGAACUUGAAUCGUCUUCCUUCGAAUAUUGCUGCCUUCCCUUUGUUCUCCAGGUGGGCGCCUGAUUACCAACAUUUGAAUUAUCUUCCUUUCCUCUGACACUUGACUUGUUUUCCCUUUGUUUUCCAGGUAGGCGCCUGAUUGCCGAACUUGCACCGUCUUCCUUUGAACAUUGCUGCCUUCCCUUUGUUCUCUGGGUGGGCUACUGAUUACCAACACUUGGAUUUCUUUCCUUUUGUUCUUCAGGAGGGUGCCUGAUUACCAACAUCUGCACUGUUUUUCCUUGACACUUGAACUGUUUCCUUUUGUUCUCCAGGUGGGCUCCUGAUUUCCAACACUUGAAUUGCUGCUUCCCUUUGUUCUCCAGGUGGUCUCCUGAUUACCGACACUUGAACUGUUGCUUCCCUUUGUUCUCCAGGUGGGAUCUUGAUUACCAACACUUGAAUUGCUCUCCCUUUGUUUUCAAGGUGGGCUCCUGAUUACCAACACUUGAAUUGCCCUCCCUUUGUUCUCCAGGUGGGCUCUUGAUUACAAACACUUGAAUCGCUCUCCCUUUGUUCUCCAGGUGGGCUCCAAAUUACCAACACUUGAAUCGCUCUCCCUUUGUUCUCCAGGUGGGCUCCUGAUUAACAAUCCUUGAAUUGCUCUCCCUUUGUUCUCCAGGUGGGCUCCUGAUUACCGACACUUGAAUUGCUUUUCCCUUUGUUCUCCAGGUGGACUACUGAUUACCGACACUUGAAUUGCUUUUCCCUUCUUUCUCCAGGUUGGCGCCUGAUUGCCAAAACUUUAACCGUAUUCCCUCAGAACUUGAUUUGUUUUCCCUUUAUUCUCCAGGUGGGCUCCUGAUUGCUGAACUUGAACUACUUCCUCUUGCGACUAUUUUUCCUUUGAACUGCCUUCCAAAGUUUCUACAGGUGAGUGCCUGAUUGCUCGAACCUGAAUUGUCCUUUUUCUUGAAACUCGUGUUGUUUUCCCUUACUCUCCAGGUGGGCGCCUAAUUACAACAAAAUAGACAAACCAAGAAAAUUUUCUGCUCUAGUUUGGUAGCUGGGCACAUCUAUGAGUGUUAAUUGAAUCAUGUUAUCACACCUCCUUUUUACCUACACCGAAGUAAAGGGGUGUAAAGGGGAGUUUUUUCCAACUUAAAGUGACAAUCGAAACAGGAUUAUUUAUUUAUUAAAUUCAGAGUCGCCACUUGGGAUAAUUUUAUGGUGUCCCAAGUCACCAGUUCAAAUCCCGAAUCGAGGAAAAGAUUGACUCUGUAUUACAGUCCGCAAACAUAGAAAUCCGGGUAAGGAAUUCUGUUAACCCGGGAGAAGGUGUUAGGCAUUCCCGGAUUUCGUGGUUCUAGCACGGUCGCUCAACUAUUAUAAUUGGCUUAUUAUCUGAUUUUAGUACACUUUUAAACCUAUGCACAUUCUUAACUUUAAAACCGCUUUUGGUAUUUAUUAAAGAAAAUUACAACGUUAUUUAAAUGUGUCUUGAACCACGUUACAUAAAUGCACCCGCAGUCCGCAACACAUUUUAUCUAACGUUGUUGAGAUUGGGAUUUGGGUCACAUAAAUGCGCACCCGAGUUUAAGAAAAUAAUAUUUUAAUAGCGCGUCUAAAACAACUACGCACUUUCAACUAUGCGAGGGCCAUGGAAAAUUCAACUGAAUGGCACGCCUCGAUUUCUAAGGAUUCAAAAUUAAUCAAGUGAGGGCCAUAGGUUCUGGGAUUUUAUUUGGCAUGGCACGCCUCAAUUUAUUUCAAAAGAAUGUAUUCAACUAAAGCAAACCACAUAUGUUUAUAAAUAAUAACUGACAUGAACUCAUAAAUAAGCAUAUUAGCUACAUGGUACUAAUCUGGGAUGAACUUGCAUUAAUAGUAACAACUGCCCACCACUUUGCAAACUCCAUGGAGUGUGAAAUAGCUUAGACCAGACUGAGCAAACUACUUGAAUAAUAUGAAUGUUUUGGCACUAUAACAACAUUUAACAUGUAGAAGACCUCACAACUAUGUUUAAGAGAUUAUUUAACCUAUAUUGUGCUUAUAUAAAGUGACAAUGUAAAAGAAAUUUGACUUUAUUAUCGUCUGUAUGCCCACGUCAAUUGCAAUUUGCCAAGUUAUACCCAAAAAUGGUCACUUGUACAACUUUGUUCCUUGAUAUACAACAACGCACAUAUUCAAUCAAAUGUUGCUAAUUCAAAUCCUAGUCUCCAGAAUAAAGCACAACAAUCCACUAGAGAACUAAAUUAGUACUUCAGUGCAAAGUAUUGAUAAAGAAUCGAUACUUCACUUCACGAAUCAGAACAACAAUGACAACAAAAGUUUCAUUCAAUGCAGAAACGCAGAUCCAGUUUAUAACAAAUAUACACGCCCUUUUUAUUGCUAUUUCAAUAUGAUAACAAUCGAAUUAGAGGUCUACGAACAGAACAAAAAUAGAUCAACACACAAAAGUGAACUUGAAGAUUCAACAAACUUGAAGAAUUUUAAUUGAAGACCAAAGGAAUUAAGGUUUUUCACCUGAUGAAGAAACAGAACAAGUUAUCAACGGAACGUCGAACCGGCAAACUCGACUCAAAUGAAACUCCGCCGGUUGAAAAUUGAAAACUCUUCGAUGAUGAAAUCCAGUCGAGUCAACCAAGUGAGCGUACGAGCAGGAAAACAUUAGAGGCAGUCAAAGCUACUGAAUCUCGUCAUUUCCGGCAAUGUAACAGUGAAAAGAGAGAGAGAAAAUACGAGAAACGAGAAUGGCGUGAUAGAAGUUCGCCGGAUUCAAUGGAGGUUCACCGAAUUUAACCAAACACUCGACCAGAUCUGAAACUCAUCGCACAUGGAGGAGAGGAGAGGACGGAAGCCAUGAAGCUUCGUUGAUCGUCGACAAGUUGACAGCAGCAAUAGUUCCCGGCAGAAGAAGAAGCAGCCUAGCUUUUUCUAGGUUCUUUAGAGGAAGAGGAAGCUUUGGUGGUUUUGUGAGGGUGAAGCAUUGUUUAUGGCUGUUGCGUGGUGAAGGGAGGUCCGACGAUGAAGUUUUGGUGGUGAGGGUGCGGCUAGUAUGGAGAUUAGGUUGCUAAAGAUGGAGGUCCAGUAGGUAGGGUGGUCUGGCGGAGGAGAUGUUGGUGGUGUUGGAGAGGUCAGGGGUCAUUUGGUCAUUCAGCUGAGGAAGAAGAUGGGCUGCUCGAUGGAUGGGAACUGUGUUUUCCAGCAGACUGGCGGUGUGGCUGGCGGGGCUGGUUCGUCGGUUUGGGAUGGUUAUGGCAGGCUAAGGGCGGCUGGGGUCUCUAAAGGUGCUAGGGUUCAGCUAGGUUUUUGGGUGGUGUCUUCUUGAAGAAGAAAGCUGCCAUGGAUGUCCUCCUCUCUU
rnacentral:lncRNA from 1 species